GUGAAAUGUGAACAGGCAACCACUUUUGUGUUUUGAUUUUGCUAGCUGGUUGCGGUUCCUGUGUAAUUUCAAACCCAAUACUAAAAUACAGUAUCAUACAUUGUCGUGAACAGUUGGACCAGACAUAAAGCCAAGAGAUGUCUGACGAGGAUGAAUCUCCGCUGGUGAAGAAGACCUGGAUUUUCUACGGCAGUCUGGAGGAGAAGGAGAGGGAGAGGCUGGGACGAGAGUCCUCUGGGUCCCUUGAUCUUGAGGAACACGUGAGUGAGUGCCAGUCUGAGGUAUUGGCUGACUUUGAGCGCAGAAAGCGAGCGAGAUAGUCACAGUAUCCAAUGACGAUGCAGAUGUAACCGAUGUGAAAUAUCCUUCUGCCAAUUUAGCCCGAACUCCAAAAUGCUUGUGACUGCCUCUUGUGAUGAGCCUGUAGCUGACAUCUAGGGCCACUCCUGAGUGUAGCACGAGUAGCCUGGCACCCCUGUCGACGCUUCCUGGGCACCACCUGGUGGGUGAAUUUAUUUGUAAACAUUCUUUGUUCUAUCAUUUUCAGAAUGUCUGAUCCAGGCAAUACAAUAAAAACAAAACAUGAUCACUUGCACCAAAUGUCUCAACUAUAGCCAUAGAUUGAUGUUACU